CAAUGAUUGGGAUAUAAACCCAGGCAUUCGAGCCGGCAAUGGCAACCCCCUUUGGGUCCCCUCCCAUUUUAUGGGAGCUCUGUUUUCACUCUAUUAGAUCUUGCAACUGCACAUUCUUCUGUUCUGUGUUUGUUACGGCUCGAGCUGAGCUUUCACUUGCCGUCCACCACUGCUGAAUGCCACCAUCGCAGACUCGCUGCUGACUUCCACCUGUCCAGGUCCGGCAGGGUGUCGGCUGUGCUCCUGAUCCAGUGAGGCGCCCAUUGCCACCCCCCAUCAAGCUAAAGGCUCGCCAUUAUUCCUGCACAGCUAAGUGCCCAGGUUCAUGCUAAUCAAGCUGAACACUAGUCGCUGGGUUCCACAGUUCUCUUCCAUGACCCACGGCUUCUAAGAGAGCUAUAACACUCACAGCAUGGCCCAAGAUUCCAUUCCUUGGAAUCAGUGAGGCCAAGAACCCCAGGUCAGAGAACAAAAGGCUUGCUGCCAUCUUGAGAGUGGAUGCCACAAUCUUGGGAGGUCUAAGAACAAGGACCCCCCCCAGUAACAUUUUGGUGAUCAUGAAGGGACCUCCAAAGUGCUCGAGCUGAGCUUUUGCUUGCCAUCCACCACUGCUGCUUGCUGCCAUCGCAGGCCCGCCGCUGACUUCCACCCCUCUGGAUCCGGCAGGGUGUCGGCUGUGCUCCUGAUCCGGCGAGGCGCCCAUUGCCGCCCCCGAUCGGGCUAAAGGCUCGGCAUCAUUCCCGCACGGCUAAGUGCCCGGUUCUUCCUAAUCGAGCUGAACACUAGUCACUGGGUUCCACGGUUCUCUUCCGUGACCCACGGCUUCUAAGAGAGCUGUAACACUCACCCCAUGGCCCAAGAUUCCAUUCCUUGGAAUCCGUGAGGCCAAGAACCCCAGGUCAGAGAACAAGAGGCUUGCCGUCAUCUUGGAAACAGCCCACCACCAUCUUGGGAGCUCUAAGCACAAGGACCCCAACCCCACCCCCCCGUAGCAAUAUGACGUAUGACACCACUUAUAUGAGAUGCCCAGAACAGGCAAAUCCACAGAGAUAGGAAGUGAGGCCGGGUGCAGUGGCGCAUGCCUGUGAUCCCUGCACUUUGGGAGGCCAAGGCAGGAGGAUCGCUUGAGCUCAGGAGUUUGAGCCUGCAGUGAGCCAUGCCUGCACCACUGUGCUCCAGCUUGGGAAAAAAAGUGAGGCCCUGUCUAAAAAAGUAAUAAUGAAAAUUAAAAUAAAGUGGUUGUCAGGGCCUGGGGGGCAGCGCUUAAGGAGUGACUGCGAAUGGGUGUGCAAUAUCCUUUUGGGUGAUGAAACGUUUCGGAGCUGGCGUAAGGAGGUGGUUGCACAGCACUGUGCACUGCGGCUGUGUUGUGCACUUCAUAAUGUUUGAUUUUGUGUCAUGUGAGUCUCACUGAAAUAAAAAAGGACGUGAGGAGGGGGAAGAAGGGAAAGGGGAGGACAAGAGCACAAAGGGUGCAUAGGAAGCUUUUGCUAAAGUCACUUUUCCUGAACACCAUUGCCCGGUAGUGUGGGAGUCCCGCCAGCCUCUCCACCAGGCCCGGGUGAGGGUGGGACGGAGGAGGCUGGGAGCUGUGGCCAGUGUGGCCUGAAGACAGUGGGAGACAGGAACUGCUAG
rnacentral:lncRNA from 10 species